CCUACGGGAGGCAGCAGUGGGGAAUAUUGGGCAAUGGGCGCAAGCCUGACCCAGCAACGCCGCGUGAAGGAAGAAGGCUUUCGGGUUGUAAACUUCUUUUAAGAGGGAAGAGCAGAAGACGGUACCUCUUGAAUAAGCCACGGCUAACUACGUGCCAGCAGCCGCGGUAAUACGUAGGUGGCAAGCGUUGUCCGGAUUUACUGGGGGUAAAGGGCGUGCAGCCGGGAAGACAAGUCAGAUGUGAAAUCCCGCGGCUCAACCGCGGAACUGUAUUUGAAACUGUUUUUCUUGAGUACCGGAGAGGUCAUCGGAAUUCCUUGUGUAGCGGUGAAAUGCGUAGAUAUAAGGAAGAACACCAGUGGCGAAGGCGGAUGACUGGACGGCAACUGACGGUGAGGCGCGAAAGCGUGGGGAGCAAACAGGAUUAGAUACCCUGGUAGUC
rnacentral:rRNA from 1 species